AGCAGUAGCCGCGGGAACACAGAGGGUGCGAGCGUUAAUCGGAUUUACUGGGCGUAAAGCGUGCGUAGGCGGCUUCUUAAGUCGGAUGUGAAAUCCCUGAGCUUAACUUAGGAAUUGCAUUCGAUACUGGGAAGCUAGAGUAUGGGAGAGGAUGGUAGAAUUCCAGGUGUAGCGGUGAAAUGCGUAGAGAUCUGGAGGAAUACCGAUGGCGAAGGCAGCCAUCUGGCCUAAUACUGACGCUGAGGUACGAAAGCAUGGGGAGCAAACAGGAUUAGAUACCCGGGUAGUCCCUGUCUCUUAUAC
rnacentral:rRNA from 1 species